GUCUGUGAUGCCCUUAGAUGUUCUGGGCCGCACGCGCGCUACACUGACGGGGCCAACGAGUCCAUUUCCUCGGCCGGAAGGCCCGGGUAAUCUUGUUAAACCCCGUCGUGCUGGGGAUAGGGCAUUGCAAUUAUUGCCCUUCAACGAGGAAUUCCUAGUAAGCGCAAGUCAUCAGCUUGCGUUGAUUACGUCCCUGCCCUUUGUACACACCGCCCGUCGCUACUACCGAUUGAAUGGCUUAGUGAGGCCUCCGGACUGGCCCAGGGUCGUUGGCAACGACAGCCCAGGGCCGGAAAGCUGGUCAAACUUGGUCAUUUAGAGGAAGUAAAAGUCGUAACAAGGUUUCCGUAGGUGAACCUGCGGAAGGAUCAUUACGAGUUUGGGGACUACGUCCCCGUUUUACUCCAACCCUUGUGAAUAUUUCCACGUUGCUUCGGCGGGCCCGCCCUCCGCGGCCUGGCUGCUCUCUCCCGAGUGGCUGGCGCGCCCGCCAGAAGACCCCUUUUCUCCGUCUUGGUGAAUGUCUGAAUAAAAACAAAAUAAAGUAAAACUUUCAACAACGGAUCUCUUGGUUCUCGCAUCGAUGAAGAACGCAGCGAAAUGCGAUAAGUAAUGUGAAUUGCAGAAUUCAGUGAAUCAUCGAAUCUUUGAACGCACAUUGCGCCCCUCGGUAUUCCGACGGGCACGCCUGCGUGAACGUCAUUUAAACGCUCGAGCCCGGCUCGGUGAUGGGGUUGGUCCGAGAGGACCUCCGCCCGCAAGCGAACGUAGUCGGAGGGAUGCGGCCCCGAGUAGUGAACACGCCUCGGACUCCGUCCCCGCCCCGACUUCUCUCCUAUCAAACUUGACUUCACGUCAGACGAGGUUACCCGCUGAACUUAAGCAUAUCAAUAAGCGGAGGAAAAGAAACCAACUGGGAUUGCCUCAGUAACGGCGAGUGAAGCGGCAAAAGCUCAAAUUUGAAAUCCGGCCUUUGGCCCGAAUUGUAAUUUGUAGAGGUGUCUUUGGCGUACGAGCAGGCCUACAUUCCUUGGAACAGGAUGGCGUAGAGGGUGAGAUCCCCGUCCACGGCCGGCGUCCGUCGCCAUGUAUAGACCUUUCGACGAGUCGAGUUGUUUGGGAAUGCAGCUCAAAUCGGGUGGUAAAUUUCAUCUAAAGCUAAAUACUGGCGAGAGACCGAUAGCGCACAAGUAGAGUGAUCGAAAGAUGAAAAGCACUUUGGAAAGAGAGUCAAACAGUACGUGAAAUUGUUGAAAGGGAAGCGCUUGCAAUCAGAUGCCCGCGGGGUUGAUCAUCGGUUCCUUCUGGGCCGUGCACUCUGCCCCGUCGGGGACGGCACCGGUCGGUGCGCCGGGACAAAGGCGGUGGGAAUGUGGCUCUCUUCGGGGAGUGUUAUAGCCCGCUGCGCAAUGCCGGCAGCUGCCGACCGAGGUCCGCGCUAUGCUAGGAUGCCGUCUUAAUGGUUGUCAGCGACCCGUCUUGAAACACGGACCAAGGAGUCUAACACCCGUGCGAGUGUUCGGGCGUAAAACCCAAACGCGAAAUGAAAGUGAACGGGGUGGGAACCCGCAAGGGCGCACCAUCGACCGAUCCUGAUGUCCUCGGAUGGAUUUGAGUAGGAGCACGGCUGUUGGGACCCGAAAGAUGGUGAACUAUGCCUGAAUAGGGUGAAGCCAGAGGAAACUCUGGUGGAGGCUCGCAGCGGUUCUGACGUGCAAAUCGAUCGUCGAAUUUGGGUAUAGGGGCGAAAGACUAAUCGWACYW
rnacentral:rRNA from 1 species